GUUGCUCCAAGCCCCUGUGUCCAACCUGGCCUUGAACACUGCCAGGGAUGGGGCAGCCACAGCUUCUCUGGGCACCCUGUGCCAGCGCCUCAGCACCCUCACAGGGAAGAACUUCUGCCUUAGAUCUAACCUGAACUUCCCCUGUUCCAGUCUGAGCCCAUCACCCCUUGUCCUGUCGCUACAGUCCCUGAUGCAGAGGUGUUAACCCCACUGGCCUGCCUCAGCUCCAUGCUGGGGGAUUACAUAUAUCCCCAGCAGCUCUCCCCUGCAGUUCCCAUAGGAGAGGUCAUGCUUUGCUUUACUCCCCUGGAAAGCUAGCACAGGCAGUAAUGUUAGCAGGCUUUAUCCCAAGCAUCCUGAAGCCUGGGAGGAGACAGAUUCAACAUGAAUGUGGUGGGUGAAAACCCUGCCGUUUUGGAAGGGUACUUGCUCAAGAAAGGGAAAGAGUGAAAAGCCAAGAAAUGCUCACAUGAAAAUCCCCCUGGCACUCCCAGCUCUCUUGCCCUCUUCCCUUCUGUUCCCAGUCACAGCCUGUCUUCUCCAAGGACCCUCACCUUGGCCGGGGCACAAGUCCCUUUGAUGCCCUGCUGUAUCAGGGAAGGGACUGACUACCUGGUGCAAGGGAAAGUGCUGCUCCCCUCAUGCUCUUGCAGAAGGCUCUUUCUGCCCUCAGAGGGCUCUGCUCAAGAAGUGGAUGUUUCAUUUUGCUGUAGUUUCUGACAGCAACACAAAGAUUUUUGAGAGAAAGGGCAACUUUGCAGCACGCUUUGCUCAUUGGAUGAGCAAAGGGAUUACUGCUAUGGAAAGCAGAAUUGAAGCAUCACACAACUUCCAUUGCAAGUAUUUUCUGCAACAAUUCCAAAGAGCUGAACGUUUUCAAGGACUUCCUGCUGCAAUGACCAUGGCUCUGCUCCACCUGCAUCUGCGUCCUCCUCCAUGGAGGUCUCAGACCUGCUCCAAACAGGGAUCAGAGAGCAAAGUACAAUAUAGGGAGGAGAGGCCUGGCCAUAAGCACCAACUUACUCCAUGGCUAUGCUAUAAAGCAUCUCUCAGGUCACUGUCAUUUAGAAGGGGAGCUUAUCCAUGCACUGAAGAAAGGAGUGAGAAAUGUAGUAACUCGUUUAUUUUAAUGGCAACAGCUUGACACUUCCCAUCUUUGCAGUCAUAACAGCUCUGCUUUUCCAAUGUGUGUGCCCAAUUAGAACUUGCAAGAAGCCACGUAUCUCAUAAAGAAUUCAGCUAAUUUUCAGUAUUUUCCAAACUCCUGUAAAUGAACAAUGCUCUUCUUACAGGUCUUUCAUCAAGGAGUUAAUAACCAGAUGAAGGUUUUCUUUUCAUCAGCUCCUAAGUGAUGCUCCAUUUGAUUGAAGAAGAUCAAAACCCACGAUCAGAAAAUGAAAAGGAAGUUUUAAAGGUAGCCUUUGUACAACACUUUAACUGUCUCAUUCCUGUUAUUUCAGAAGUAUCACUGGGCUUCUUUCAGGCAUGGAACAAAAAUCUUAGAGAUUGCCAGUACUUCUCUUCCUCUUACUUUAAUUCUAUAAACCUUUGGGUUA